rnacentral:pre_miRNA from 1 species
UAGAUUUGUACUAAGUCAAACAUCUUUAACUUUAACCAAAUUUAUAGAAAAAUAUAUAAAUUUCCACAGUAUCAAAUAAAUACAAUAUCAAUACAUGGUUCAUGGUGGAUUUAAUAAAACUAAUUUGAUAUUGUAAAUAUUAGUACUUUUUUCUAUAAACUUGGUUAAAGUGUCAGAUAUGUUUAUCUUAGGACAAAGCCAG